UACGGAGGGUGCGAGCGUUAACGGAAUACUGGCGGUAAGACGUGCAGGCGGUUAGUUAAGUCAGAUGUGAAAGCCCCGGGCUCAACCUGGGAACUGCAUUUGAAACUGGCUAACUAGAGUGCGGCAGAGGGUGGUAGAAUUUCAGGUGUAGCGGUGAAAUGCGUAGAGAUCUGAAGGAAUACCGAUGGCGAAGGCAGCCACCUGGGCCGACACUGACGCUCAUGUACGAAAGCGUGGGUAGCAAACAGGAUUAGAUACCCGCGUAGUCC
rnacentral:rRNA from 1 species